rnacentral:rRNA from 1 species
GCCUAAAGCGUCCGUAGCCUGCUCUGUAAGUUUCCGGUUAAAUCCAUUAGCUCAACUAAUGGGCCGCCGGAAAAACUGCAAAGCUAGGGAGUGGGAGAGGUAGACGGUACUCGGUAGGAAGGGGUAAAAUCCUUUGAUCUAUUGAUGACCACCUGUGGCGAAGGCGGUCUACCAGAACACGUUCGACGGUGAGGGAUGAAAGCUGGGGGAGCAAACCGGAUUAGAUACCCGGGUAGUCCCAGCUGUAAACGAUGCAGACUCCGUGAUGCGCUGGCUUGUGGCUAGUGCAGUGCCGCAGGGAAGCCGUUAAGUUUGCCGCCUGGGAAGUACGUACGCAAGUAUGAAACUUAAAGGAAUUGGCGGGGGAGCACCACAAGGGGUGAAGCCUGCGGUUCGAUUGGAGUCAACGCCAGAAAUCUUACCCGAGGAGACAGCAGAAUGAAGGUCAAGCUGGAGACUUUACCAGACAAGCUGAGAAGUGGUGCAUGGCCGUCGCCAGCUCGUGCCGUGAGAUGUCCUGUUAAGUCAGGUAACGAGCGAGAUCCCUGCCUCUAGUUGCCACCAUUACUCUCAGGAGUAGUGGGGCGAAUUAGCGGGACCGCCACAGUUAAUGUGGAGGAAGGAAGGGGCCACGGCAGGUCAGUAUGCCCCGAA